rfam:Haematospirillum jordaniae strain H5569, complete genome.
UCGCUUGCAUGCACAGGGCAAGACCCUAUAGUCUUGUACUUGCCGGGCUUGCUCGGCUAUGGCGCUAAACCCUUUGCGGAAUAGGCGUAGCGGACCCGGGGGCGGUACCCGGCGUCUCCACCAUCACUCCUCCCUGCCGGGCAGGGUGGAUCUGUGGGGACGAAAUAGGAUCGACGCGCGUAGUAAAGGCCUAGGCUGUGCCCGGUAUAGUAUCCGCCGUUAUCGGGCUGAACUCUACAAGUGCCAACGACAACGUUGAACUUGCCGCUGCCGCUUAAUUGCCGGUAAGCGCGGUCCGGGGGGCACCGGGCAACAGAAGCCCCCCACU